rnacentral:tRNA from 1 species
GGUGGGUUGGCUCAGUGGUUAGAGCGUUGGUCUCGUAAACGAAAGGUUACGAGAUCGAAUCCCGCUAGAGGCUG